AUGCUCUCAUCCACCGCUCUCCGGCCGCUGUCGCCGGCGACGGCGACGACGCCCGCGUACCCCGCCACCGCCACCUCGGCCACGCCCGGGCGGCGCUCGGUGGCGGUGCGCGUGCUGCGGGACUACGGCUCGAUCCCCAAGCGGGAGCCCUUCAGCUCCAGCCGCAGCAUCCUCGACGAGUUCUUCAAGCAGGAGAAGCCUCUCGUCCAGCGCACCAAGGACCACAUCACAGAUUAUUGCACGACCCUUGAAGGCGAUGAUUGCUGCAGCUGCUGGGAUGCCUAUUUUGAACUCAACAAACUCGAGCAAGAGCUACCGCAAGAAGAAAUCUCAAGGAUGGUGAAGGACUCGCGGUCAGACCCAAGGUACCUCAUAAGCAGCAUCCACCACCGGUCAGACCUACGGAAGAAGAUGGCCGAGAAAGCUCACAAUUCAGCGCCAUCAAACUCCCCGGGGCAAACAGCGAAGCCGAGGCCUUUCCCCGUCCCUGAUGGGCUGCCGAAAACGCAGGAAGAGAUCGACGAGGAUGAGGAGGCUCUGAUGCCGGAGUCUCCUUACACGAGGCUGCUGAGAAGGAUGGGGAGGUUCCCUGACUGGUAUACCCCUCGCCCAGACCAUGAGACUGACUGA
rnacentral:rRNA from 1 species